UAACAAAAAUCAGGCGCGCUUGCUCUGUUUCCCCCAAAAUCGACCGCUGCUUUUCCCCCAAAUCAGGCGGGUCGCCAAAAUCCUCGGUGCCCGUCCACCACUCGUACGCAAUCCCACUCCCCAUCUCCUCGCUCCCCUCCCCCGCCCACUUCACCGCCGGCGACCGCGACGGCUCAUCUCCUCCCUCCUACAUCACCGCCGCCUGCAACCACCGGCGACCUUUCUCAUGGGCUCAACCCUAUCCCCCACCCUCCCCUCACGUUCUCUCCCAGAUCGGAUCGGAUCGAGAAUCAGCAGGUUAGCCGGUGGCCAGAUUCGCGGCGGUCCGUCUCUCGGGCCUCUUUUUUAUGCUCCCAGAUCAGAUCGAGCAGCAGGCCAUGGAGUUGGUGAAGUUGGCCCUCCUUCGUCAACUUGGUUAGAGGUCCAAGUUCGAGGGACCUGACGAGAAGGAGGACAAGGACCACCGGGAACCAAGACCUCCAUAUAGCCAUGGCAGCAGCCGCACCUUCCCCUUCCACAAGGUCUUCUCCUCCCCGCAACAUGCAUCUCUCUCUGUUCGUGGUGUACAAAUUCUUGAUUUUUUGUUCUAUGGUUAGAGUAAGUCAGUAGAAAAGUUUGACACUUGACGAAAUUCCAUGGUGAUUAGGUAUAGGAAUCCAUCCUAGGAAAGAUGAGAGCAAAGCUGCCUAUAUUGACGAAAUUCUUGAUUGUUGGAUCACGAGGAUCUAGGAUCUCUCUCUAUCGACAAAUCUGACUUGUUAGAUAGCACUUUCACUUAUAAGUACAGACAGAUGAAUUUGCAUCACUUUUUGUUCGGCAUGUGAAGACUAAGACGAGCGGACCCAUUUGUAAACAUCACUCAUGCAGAUUUGUUCCUAGUGUAGAUUUGGACACAAUCCCUCUUGACUUUGAGGUUUUUUCCCAUGUCAUCGCUACUCCGUUCGAAGCUAUUUUCUCUUCUGGUUGUGAAACCAAACUAUGGUGACGAGGUCCCUCUUGGGUUUGGUUUACUCUGAGGUUGUGCACCACGAUUCCAGGUUCUUGUGUAGUGGUAUGACCAAAUUCUGCAAUUCAUAUCAUAUCUUGUUCUAGAUGAUGCGUUUAUGGUUGAUGCUUAUGCUCAUGAAUGGCAUUUCAUUUUGCACCUGAUCUAGCUCACUGUCAUUGUUCCCUAAAAUUGCUACUGGAUAUACAUUGUUUGGUUAGUGCUUCCAUUCUUUGUGGACUAAAUUGGAUGAAGAAAAUGUGUUGAUUUUAUAUGGUAAAAGGUUGCUACCUUGCCCUAGAUGUCUACAUUACUAGUUAUGCUCUUUUCAUCUACAAAUAAAUUAUCACACUAGACUACCCUCUUAUUGCUCAUGUGGUCUUUUUUGGGAAGCCCAAUCCUGCUUUAUAAAUAACUUAUCACACCUCACUGCCCUGUUUAUUUUGUAGCUCACCAUUUGCUGUUGUACAUGCUGAUUGUAGUCAAUCUGUUGGAUGCCUCGACCUAGUUACAUCACAUAUUUUAAAAUCAAGGUGUAGUAGGUGUUCAUGGAAAAAGACAGAAAUUUUUAGGAGAUGAGGAGUUACUGAAACAUUGGCUGCAGCGCAAGGCCUCAAUGUGGCCAAAUCAACUCAAUGAACUACCAUGGUGUUAUUUAUGUGUAGGAGGAAAUGUUUUCGGAAUGACCUAAAACUUCACGAAGACACUUUUCAGAAAAUAAGAAAAAUACCUUCCAAAGAUGAAGGUCAGGGGGCCCACCACCUUGCCAUGAGGGUGGGGGGCGUGCCUCCCCCCUAGGGCGUGCCUCCCUACCUCAUGGGCCCCCUAUUGCCUCUCCAACUCCAAUUUCACUUUCAUAUAUUGAGUUUCAGGGAGAAACAAAUCAGAGAGAAGAAAUCAUCGCGUUUUACGAUACGGAGCCACCACCAAUUUUUAAAACCUCUCGGGAGGGCUGAUUUGGAGUCCGUUCGGGGCUCUGGAGAGGGAAAUCCGUCGCCAUCGUCAUCAUCAACCAUCCUCCAUCAUCAAUAUCAUGAUGCUCACCGCCGUG